rnacentral:rRNA from 1 species
UCAGGGAGAAGUCUCUUCGGGGAUGAUUAAACCGGCGCACGGGUGAGUAACACGUGAGUGACCUGCCUUUUAGACUGGAACAACUUACCGAAAGGUGAGCUAAUGCCGGAUGAGUUAUAUAAGUGCAUGUUUAUAUAGGAAAAGUUGGGGAGACCUGACGCUGAAAGAUGGACUCGCGUCCCAUUAGCUAGUUGGUAGGGUAAUGGCCUACCAAGGCGACGAUGGGUAGCCGGCCUGAGAGGGUGGCCGGCCACACUGGGACUGAGACACGGCCCAGACUCCUACGGGAGGCAGCAGUGGGGAAUUUUGCGCAAUGCUCGUAAGAGUGACGCAGCGACGCCGCGUGAAUGACGAAGGCCUUCGGGUCGUAAAGUUCUUUCGACAGGGAAGAAAAUGCCUAUAAGUAACUGUGUAUGUAUUGACGGUACCUGUAUAAGCAGCCCCGGCUAACUCCGUGCCAGCAGCCGCGGUAAUACGGAGGGGGCGAGCGUUGUUCGGAGUGACUGGGCGUAAAGAGCACGCAGGCGGUGUUGUAAGUCAUUAGUCAAAGACUAGAGCUCAACUUUAGUAAGGCUAGUGAUACUAUAAUACUAGAGUAUCAGAGAGGAUUGCAGAAUUCCUGGUGUAGCGGUGAAAUGCGUAGAUAUCAGGAGGAAUACCGUUAGCGAAGGCGGCAAUCUGGCUGGAAACUGACGCUGAGGUGCGAAAGCGUGGGUAGCAAACAGGAUUAGAUACCCUGGUAGUCCACGCUGUAAACGAUGGAUGCUAGGUGUUGGGCUUUU